rnacentral:rRNA from 1 species
CCUACGGGUGGCAGCAGUGGGGAAUAUUGGACAAUGGGGGCAACCCUGAUCCAGCCAUGCCGCGUGUGUGAAGAAGGCCUUCGGGUUGUAAAGCACUUUUGUGAAAAGAGCGGUACCGGAAGAAUAAGCACCGGCUAACUUCGUGCCAGCAGCCGCGGUAAUACGAAGGGUGCAAGCGUUACUCGGAAUUACUGGGCGUAAAGCGUGCGUAGGUGGUUCGUUAAGUCUGUCGUGAAAGCCCCGGGCUCAACCUGGGAAUGGCGAUGGAUACUGGCGGGCUAGAGUGCGGUAGAGGAGAGUGGAAUUCCCGGUGUAGCAGUGAAAUGCGUAGAGAUCGGGAGGAACAUCAGUUGCGAAGGCGGCUCUCUGGACCAGACUGACACUGAGGCACGAAAGCGUGGGGAGCAAACAGGAUUAGAUACCCUUGUAGUC